GGGGGCGUGGUGAAAGGGUAUCAUGGGAAUCUCCAAAAUUUCCGUUCCAGGUUCGAAUCCUGGCACCCCCG
rnacentral:tRNA from 5 species